CAUCAGUUUUCAAUGCACUGCCCUCGUUCUCAGAUUACGAGAACAGAAGUUCCCAAUCUGCUCACUUUAUUUCGCAGUAUGUUUUGCAUACCAGCCUCGCCGCGUAUGGCACGACCAUCCCGUGGAGCCUGCGUCCAGGGGCUUUGCUGGAAAACCGAAGACCACAUAGCAGUGAAGUAAGACGGUCCUGACGUCUGGCAGAUCGUCCUCUCCAUCUUCAGGUGACCUCUGCAGAGGGGACAUCUCUUCAGGCUGUUUCUCUCACCUCCAACCUCUCCGGAUCUAUCUGUCAGGUCAACCUAUCAUUUGAAUUUGGCAACCUCAGAAGAAGAUGAAAGCAAAGUAUCUUUAUCACAUAGCCCAGAAGAAUUUACAGCCCAAACAAACCAAUUUCGAGGAGCAAGAGAAGUGGGCUUUUGAGGUCUUAGCUGUUACUUUUCUGCUGUCUUGGAAUAAAAUGUAAUAUUUAUAGAGAGGAAAA